GAUCCUGGCUCAGAUUGAACGCUGGCGGCAGGCUUAACACAUGCAAGUCGAGCGGGGAAGGGUAGCUUGCUACCUAACCUAGCGGCGGACGGGUGAGUAAUGCUUAGGAAUCUGCCUAUUAGUGGGGGACAACAUUCCGAAAGGAAUGCUAAUACCGCAUACGCCCUACGGGGGAAAGGCAGGGGAUCUUCGGACCUUGCGCUAAUAGAUGAGCCUAAGUCAUAUUAGCUAGUUGGUGGGGUAAAGGCCUACCAAGG
rnacentral:rRNA from 1 species